rnacentral:tRNA from 3 species
GGGGCUAUAACUCAGCUGGUAGAGUGUUUCAAUGGCAUUGAAAAAGUCAGCGGUUCGAAUCCGCUUAGCUCCA